GGGAAGGUGGCCGAGUGGUUAUGGCGGGUGCCUCAAGUUUCAAAACUUUUCGACUUGAUUUUAACAGGUUGGUACAAGCAUCUGGUGAAUUCCGCGUGGGUUCGAAUCCCACCCUUCUCA